UUUUAAAAUACAAAACUUUGUACAAAUUGUACCUUAAAAUCCCAUGCUAGAAUACAUGAAAAAUUGUCUGGGUAUUUUUUAAAGUGAAUAUCUGCCGACCACAACUAAUAUAUAUAUAUUUUUACUUUAUAUUAAACAGGAGUUUUUACAGUUUAUCUGUUGAUUUCAGAAAUAAAAGUCAAAAUGUAACAGACAGUUUCCGGAAGCUCCACUGCAUAAAUAUUGCAACAUACUUCAGUGAAGUUCUUAUGCCUUUUUGUAUUAUUUCUGGCAAUGUCAGUGUACCCAAGAGAAUCUCCACCCGAGAGCGAGCAGAGCAUGUGGGGUGAGACAGCAGAAGAAAGUUUGUUCUGUAGAAAAGAACUGAAGGAAGCACAAAAGCAGAGAUUUACAUUCAUAUAUAUGAGAUGAAAGAUGUGGCAAAUGAUGGCAUGGACCACCUUAGUCAAGAUCUUUGAGCACAAUGCUGUGAUGACGUGCAGCUCGCUUAAUGCACAUAGACACAAGCUGUCAGAUGAAUAAGCAGCACUUCUACAGGUAUGAACAGUGAAAAGCCCUGCAUGAUGUUUCAAUAGAGUAAAUCAGGUGAACUCGGAAGUGUUCCCCAGUGAAACAAACUGAGCACAAGAAAUGUCAACAUUAUUUAAUGCCCAUGAAGGCCAUUAGAUUCUUUUAAUGUGACUCACAGCCGUAUAAUAGUUUUCAGUUGGUUUCUAUUUGGACCAAAAUCAAAUGUAUGAUGACUUGGUGGUUCAGUAAGUGAGUCAGAUGUUGAAUUAUUCAAACUGAUAACUGGUGAAUCAUUAAAAGUCAUUUGUUUGUGGUUGCAUGCUGAGUGUGUGGUCUUUGUUCUAUUUCAUCAUUUCUGCUUAUUAUUACAUUUAAUUUUUUUUUUUUUUUAAAUAAUUUAUGUGUGAAGCAGACUUUAUUGUUGAUAAAUCAAAACAUGCUCCAUUUCGGGCUUAGUAACCACAUGUUCUAUUUCAUCAUUUCUGCUUAUUAUUACAUUUAAUUUUUUUUUUUUUUUAAAUAAUUUAUGUGUGAAGCAGACUUUAGUGUUGCUACAUCAAAACAUGCUCCAUUUCGGUCUUAGUAACCACACUGUAAAAAAAGUAUUUUAAAAAAAUAAAUAAAUAAAGCAAGAAUUAAACGCA
ensembl:lncRNA